rnacentral:rRNA from 1 species
CCUACGGGAGGCAGCAGUGGGGAAUAUUGCACAAUGGGGGAAACCCUGAUGCAGCGACGCCGCGUGAGUGAAGAAGUAUUUCGGUACGUAAAGCUCUAUCAGCAGGGAAGAAAAUGACGGUACCUGACUAAGAAGCCCCGGCUAACUACGUGCCAGCAGCCGCGGUAAUACGUAGGGGGCAAGCGUUAUCCGGAUUUACUGGGUGUAAAGGGAGCGUAGACGGCAGCGCAAGUCUGGAGUGAAAUCCCAUGGCUUAACCAUGGAACUGCGUUGGAAACUGUGCAGCUAGAGUGCAGGAGAGGGAAGCGGAAUUCCUAGUGUAGCGGUGAAAUGCGUAGAUAUUAGGAGGAACACCAGUGGCGAAGGCGGCUUACUGGACUGUAACUGACGUUGAGGCUCGAAAGCGUGGGGAGCAAACAGGAUUAGAUACCCCAGUAGUC